UGAGGAAUAUUGGUCAAUGGGCGGGAGCCUGAACCAGCCAAGCCGCGUGAGGGAUGAAGGCCCUAUGGGUCGUAAACCUCUUUUGUCAGGGAACAAAAGCGAGUAUGUAUACUAGUCUGAGUGUACCUGAAGAAAAAGCAUCGGCUAACUCCGUGCCAGCAGCCGCGGUAAUACGGAGGAUGCGAGCGUUAUCCGGAUUUAUUGGGUUUAAAGGGUGCGUAGGCGGCAGUGCAAGUCAGCGGUAAAAGCCCGGGGCUCAACCCCGGCGAGCCGUUGAAACUGCAGUGCUAGAGAAGGCGAGAGGUACGCGGAAUGCGCAGUGUAGCGGUGAAAUGCUUAGAUAUUGCGCAGAACUCCGAUUGCGAAGGCAGCGUACUGGCGCCUGACUGACGCUGAGGCACGAAAGCGUGGGGAUCGAACAGGAUUAGAUACC
rnacentral:rRNA from 1 species